UACGUAGGGUGCGAGCGUUGUCCGGAAUUAUUGGGCGUAAAGGGCUCGUAGGCGGACCUGUAAGUCUGACGUGAAAUCUCCACCGCUCAACGGGGAGAGGCCGCUGGAUACUGCAGAUCUGGAGUUCGGCAGAGGACCAUGGAAUUUCGGGUGUAGCGGUGGAAUGCUCAGAUAUCCGAAAGAACACCGGUGGCGAAGGCGGUGGUCUGGGCCUGAACUGACGCUGAGGAGCGAAAGCUAGGGGAGCAAACGGG
rnacentral:rRNA from 1 species